GCCUAGCCAUAACAUAACAAUUAAACCACCUAUUGUUCGCCAAAUAACUACGAGUAAAAACUUAAAAUUUAAAAGACUUGACGGUACCUCAUAACAACCUAGAGGAGCCUGUCUAACAACCGAUACCCCACGAUCAACCCAACCCACUCUAGCCUAACAGUCUAUAUACCGCCGUCGCCAGCCUACCUUGUGAAAGAAACAAAGUGAGCCCAAUAGCCACACACUAAUACGACAGGUCGAGGUGUAACUCAUGAGUGGGCACAAGAUGGGCUACAUUUUCUAACACAGAAAAUACGAAUUUUUAGCCAUGAAAAAAAAACUGAAGGAGGAUUUAGCAGUAUACUGAGAACAACAUGCUCAGUCGAAAUUAACGCAAUGAGGUGCGUACACACCGCCCGUCAUCCCUGUAAAUUAAACCAAUAAAAAUACAUAAACACUUAACCACUACCUUAAGCAGGGCAAGUCGUAACAUGGUAAGUGUACUGGAAAGUGCGCUUAGAAA
rnacentral:rRNA from 1 species